rnacentral:rRNA from 1 species
CUUAAAUUGAAGAGUUUGAUCAUGGCUCAGAUUGAACGCUGGCGGCAGGCCUAACACAUGCAAGUCGAGCGGAAACGAGUUAUCUGAACCUUCGGGGGACGAUAACGGCGUCGAGCGGCGGACGGG